AGUUUGGCUGCGAAAUGUUGUAAAAUGAAGAAAGUAUAGCCCUACGAAAUUUGCAAAUUUUGUAUUGAUUUGUAUUACGCACGGGAGAAUGAUGCACCACUUUCGGCCCAAAUGUGGUGCAUUUUCCCUGCGUAAUACAAAUUAACACAAAAUUUGCAAAUUUCGUAGGGCCAUAUUUAUUUUCUGCAUUUUACAACAUUUCACGGCUAAACU